AGAGUUUGAUCCUGGCUCAGGAUGAACGCUGGCGGCGCGCCUAACACAUGCAAGUCGAACGGACGAUGAAAAGCUUGCUUUUCAAAGUUAGUGGCGGACGGGUGAGUAACGCGUGGGUAACCUGCCUCAUGCAGGGGAAUAGCAGCUGGAAACGGCUGAUAAAACCGCAUAAGCGCACAGUGCCGCAUGGCACAGUGUGAAAAACUCCGGUGGUAUGAGAUGGACCCGCGUCUGAUUAGCUGGUUGGCGGGGUAACGGCCCACCAAGGCGACGAUCAGUAGCCGGCCUGAGAGGGUGAUCGGCCACAUUGGGACUGAGACACGGCCCAAACUCCUACGGGAGGCAGCAGUGGGGAAUAUUGCACAAUGGGGGGAACCCUGAUGCAGCGACGCCGCGUGAAGGAAGAAGUAUCUCGGUAUGUAAACUUCUAUCAGCAGGGAAGAUAAUGACGGUACCUGACUAAGAAGCCCCGGCUAACUACGUGCCAGCAGCCGCGGUAAUACGUAGGGGGCAAGCGUUAUCCGGAUUUACUGGGUGUAAAGGGAGCGUAGGCGGCGGAGCAAGUCAGAAGUGAAAGCCCGGGGCUCAACCCCGGGACGGCUUUUGAAACUGCCCUGCUUGAUUUCAGGAGAGGUAAGCGGAAUUCCUAGUGUAGCGGUGAAAUGCGUAGAUAUUAGGAGGAACACCAGUGGCGAAGGCGGCUUACUGGACUGACAAUGACGCUGAGGCUCGAAAGCGUGGGGAGCAAACAGGAUUAGAUACCCUGGUAGUCCACGCUGUAAACGAUGAUUACUAGGUGUGGGGGGAUUGACCCCUUCCGUGCCGCAGUUAACACAAUAAGUAAUCCACCUGGGGAGUACGACCGCAAGGUUGAAACUCAAAGGAAUUGACGGGGGCCCGCACAAGCAGUGGAGUAUGUGGUUUAAUUCGAAGCAACGCGAAGAACCUUACCAGGUCUUGACAUCGAGUGACGUAUCCAGAGAUGGAUAUUUCCUUCGGGACACAAAGACAGGUGGUGCAUGGUUGUCGUCAGCUCGUGUCGUGAGAUGUUGGGUUAAGUCCCGCAACGAGCGCAACCCUUAUCAUUAGUUGCUACGCAAGAGCACUCUAAUGAGACUGCCGUUGACAAAACGGAGGAAGGUGGGGAUGACGUCAAAUCAUCAUGCCCCUUAUGACCUGGGCUACACACGUACUACAAUGGCGAUCGAACAGAGGGAAGCAAGACAGCGAUGUGGAGCCAAUCCCAAAAAAUCGCCCCAGUUCAGAUUGCAGGCUGCAACUCGCCUGCAUGAAGUCGGAAUUGCUAGUAAUCGCAGAUCAGCAUGCUGCGGUGAAUACGUUCCCGGGCCUUGUACACACCGCCCGUCACACCAUGGGAGUCGGUAACACCCAAAGCCGGUCGUCUAACCUUCGGGAGGACGCCGUCUAAGGUGGGAUUGAUGACUGGGGUGAAGUCGUAACAAGGUA
rnacentral:rRNA from 1 species